rnacentral:rRNA from 1 species
GCGCAGCAGUCGCGAAAACUCCGCAAUGCGCGAAAGCGUGACGGGGUCACCCCGAGUGCCGUCCGCUGAGGAUGGCUUUUGCCUGGUCUAACCAGCCGGGUGAAUAAGGGGAGGGCAAGUCUGGUGUCAGCCGCCGCGGUAAUACCAGCUCCCCGAGUGGUUGGGACGAUUAUUGGGUCUGAAGCGUCCGUAGCCGGCCGGAAAAGUUCCCCGUUAAAUCUGGCGAUCCAAUCGUUGGGCUGCGGGGAAUACUCUUCGGCUUGGGGGCGAGGGAGGUCGGCGGUAGUCCCGGGGUAGGGGCGAAAUCCUAUAAUCCCGGGAGGACCACCAGUGGCGAAGGCGUUCGACUAGAACAGGCUUGACGGUGAGGGACGAAAGCCAGGGGCGCGAACCGGAUUAGAUACUCGCGUAGUCC